CGACCAGGUCGGGCAAUCGCGGGCCAGCGCUUGUCGGUAGAUUCCUGCAUUGCAGGUAUGCCGAGACGGCUGGCUCGAGGAAAGUCCGAGCUCCAUAGAGCACGAUGCUGGGUAACACCCAGGCGGGGUGACCCGACGGAAUAGUGCAACAGAAAGCAGGUCGCCCUGUGGCGUACUGAUUACGCUGCGGGGUCAGAGUGCAACGGUGGUGUAAGAGACCACCAGCGGGCCAGGUGACUGGUCCGGCUAGGCAAACCCCAUCGGGAGCAAGGUCAAACGGAGGGCGCCAUGGCCUAUGCCAUGCCGGGGCUGCUCGUCCCGUGACCCUCAGGUAGACCGCUAGAGACGGCAGGUAACUGUCGUCCCAGAGAGAUGAUUGCCGUCCUGCGCGAUUUUGCCAGGAUACAGAACUCGGCUUAUAGACCUGGUCGGGUA
rnacentral:RNase_P_RNA from 1 species